rnacentral:lncRNA from 1 species
GACGGCUUAAAAUCAUUGUCCUGGCUCCAAGUACCUAUAACUUUUGAUACCUUUUCUGAAAUUCUCCAGACAUAAAUCAUUUACAAAAAUUCAUCCUACAACAGUUAACAUACUUUUAACCAAGCUCUAAAUGCCCGCGAUAUCUCGGGCUGCGUUCUAGUAUUUAUAAAAUAUGUAUAAUAUUUUGUAUAAUAUAAUGAUG